rnacentral:lncRNA from 1 species
GGAAGGAUUCUAAGAAGUGAUGCCCAUUCAAAGUAGACGGGAGAGUGCUCCUUGGCACGGGGAAGCAAAGAUCCUGAAACUGGACUUGGGUAGCUGAGGGACAGGGAUGACACAUGAAACAUAGAAAGGACCUGCAGAAAAGUGAAAAGGGCUGAGGAUGGAGAUCAGUUGGCAGAGUGCUUGCCUAGCAUGCAUAAAGCCUUGGGUUUGAUUCCAAGCACCAGAGAACCCGGAUGUGGUGGCAUACCUUUGUAAUAGCAGCAGCGGAAUUCUAGAGGACCAGAGUCUGCAGUGGGUGUUUCACUGUGCUGAAGUCAAGGUGCUGUUCUGGAAACUCUAGUAAAGAGCUCUAGCCCCUUUUCAGUUCCUAGAGGCCUAUGGAUGGCACUCCUGGGUCAUGCCUCUCCUCUAUCUCCAGAGCCACCAUCUCUUUCUCCUUCUGCAUCUCUGUGACUGAGGUCUCCAUCACCACUCCUGCUCUGACUCCUUCAGGAGAGCCCUGGUGACUGCAUUUGAACCAGUUGGACAAUCCAAGUGGGUCCUUGGUCACACUCAGAGAUUCUUAGUGGUUUUCCAGGGAGGUGGCAAUAGUCAUAGGUUCCUGGGGACAGAGAGUAGAUAUUUGGAAACCCAUCGUUAUACCUAAUACCUACGUCAGGGAGAAAGGAAAAGGGGUGUGAGCAUGGAUUGACCUUCUCUUGCCUUGGAAAAUACUAGGUGAUCUAAGAGUUUCUGCUUUUUUUUUUUUUUUUUUUUUCUGAGAUAGGGUUUCUCUGGAGACUAGGCUGGCCUCGAACUCACAGAGAUCCGCCUGCCUCUGCCUCCCAAGUGCUGGGACUAAAGGUGUGCGCCAUCAAUGUCCAGCGCUUCCUUUAACUUCUAGAAUAGUGGUGGAAAUUUUUCGGGUUUCUUCUCUGGGUACUGCACCAGAAAGGUAUGUCUGCUGGGGAACUGUUUUAUGUCCCUGCUUCCCAAGUGCCAGGAUUAAAAACAUGCAUCACCAUUCCCAGCCCUUAUUCUGUUUUCUUUCCUCUGGUACCUUGCAUAGGUCUGAGGCACAUACUGUCCUAUGAUCUCUAUGAGUUUCAGGCCAGCCUGGACUAUGUAGAGAGUUCUAGUAAGAACAAGAGAAUAAGACCCUGUCUCCAAACAACAUGAUCUGCCCACAUGCUGACAGCCUGAACAUCAAUUUAUACCUGUAACUAAAUGCAAACUAGCCUUUAGUUA